UACGGAGGGUGCGAGCGUUGUCCGGAAUCACUGGGCGUAAAGGGCGCGUAGGCGGCGCGGAAAGUCGUCGGUGAAAGCUCGGGGCUCAACCCUGAGUCUGCCGGUGAUACUCCCGCGCUCGAGCUCACUAGAGGCAGAUGGAAUUCCGGGUGUAGCGGUGGAAUGCGUAGAGAUGUGGAGGAACACCGAUGGCGAAGGCAGCCCCCUGGGUCAAGAUUGACGCUCAUGCACGAAAGCGUGGGGAGCGAAACAGG
rnacentral:rRNA from 1 species